UAGGGAAUCUUCGGCAAUGGGGGGAACCCUGACCGAGCAACGCCGCGUGAGUGAAGAAGGUUUUCGGAUCGUAAAGCUCUGUUGUUAAGGAAGAACGAGUGUGAGAAUGGAAAGUUCAUGCUGUGACGGUACUUAACCAGAAAGGGACGGCUAACUACGUGCCAGCAGCCGCGGUAAUGCGUAGGUCCCGAGCGUUGUCCGGAUUUAUUGGGCGUAAAGCGAGCGCAGGCGGUUAGAAAAGUCUGAAGUGAAAGGCAGUGGCUCAACCAUUGUAGGCUUUGGAAACUGUUUAACUUGAGUGCAGAAGGGGAGAGUGGAAUUCCAUGUGUAGCGGUGAAAUGCGUAGAUAUAUGGAGGAACACCGGUGGCGAAAGCGGCUCUCUGGUCUGUAACUGACGCUGAGGCUCGAAAGCGUGGGGAGCGAACAGG
rnacentral:rRNA from 1 species